GUGGGCUGAAUCCAGAAAAGGGAAGAUUGGCAUCCAGAGUGUUUGGAGAGUGGGCCCAUAAGAGAACAUUGUGUGUGUAUGUGUGUGUGUGUGUGUGUGUGUGUGUGUGUGUGUGUGCACGUGCACGCACGUAUGUGUUGGGGGCUGUGUAGCUUCUCCUAACUUCACCAUGCAGAAGUCAAGGAAACGGUUACAGAGGCAAAAUGUGGGAGUAGCUAAUGGCAAUGGCCCAGAGAGAUGAAAAAAUGUGAGAAAACCAAAGCUUGGAGGUAGGAACUUUCCGAUUCUUUUGGAGUAGACUAAGGUGACUUAAGUAGGAAAAGAACGCAUAGCCAGUAACUCUCCCAACAGAACUGGAUUCGUGCCUGGGGUGAUUCAGGAUGUCCAGUUAAGCUGGGAAAUACUGAUUCCACUGAUCCCCUUCAUUCACUCAGAGCAGACCGAAGACUGUGAGACUUCCUCCCCACAGUGAGCUAAAAGGACGCUUUUGUCAGAGUGGGGAAAUAAAAGGGCUUUAUGGGAAGGAAGAUAAGAACAGAUGAGUCAGAGGUUUCUGCUUAAUGCUCACUCUUCAAUUCUUUCCCGAGCAAAACCAAGAAUCUUCUUGGGCUAAGCCCCAAUUUGGGGUUCACCUGCCUUGCAGCAACAUGGCACCAAACAUGCGGCAGAAGAGAGAAAACGACAGCAUGAGAGACGGAGAAAGAAAUGGCCAGUUGGCAAGGUGGUAAUGAGAGACAGCAGUUGGCAAGACAGUGAGAGACAGCAAGAGAUGGUGGUACAGCCAAGCAGACAGGCAAGUAAGUGGCCAUACUGCUACUGCCUCAUGUAGGAUCCGGCAGGCUGGUGGGUUAUCAGUCCUCACGUGGGACCCUCCCACCAUGGCAGCUGAGCACAUCCAAGCUGGGGGAUCCUGAAGAGACCUUCACCUGGGUGCCACGUGGAAGAUUGGCCAGCACCAUUUUGACUCCUGUGGAUGGUUCCAGGUAAAGACAAUCCUUGCACAAGGCUUCCAACUCGACCCGCCUACUGACCUGGAGAAUGAAAGUGUCCUGCCUCGGGGCCCCUCAGAUCAGCACCCAAACUGCACCUGGUCACCUGUCUACAUUCAGAUUUAGAUGAAAGCCACACCAUGGAGGCAGCCAGAGGCCCAUGGGAGAUGUCUGGAUUCGCAGAGGAAUAGCUCCAUGUGAUGCAAACCUUGACUAAUGGGAACAGGAAAAGGGAGGAAACCAGGAAGAUAAAUCUCCCUCCCUUCUCAUUGCUCCUUGCAACCCUUCCCACUUGAAGCAUGACCACAUUUAAUGAACAACCUGCUGUGUCUCUUGGAAGCUUGCUGCAAGGCAGCAAUCAGCACAAUAACAUUGUAUUGUAUCUUCCUCUGCUUCACUUCUCUUCCUCCCUCACCCUCACUGCCCUGAGCUGGCACAUCCCAAAGAAAGCAUUACCACAUUAAUCCUUGUCUCAGACUCUGCUUUCAAGAGGAUCUAGGUGAAGGAAAUUCCUAUUACUCCACCUCUUCAUCACCUCUUCAAAUGUCAGACUUUAAAAAUGGUGUCAUUUUGUUGAGUGUAUCUCAUUGUGGUUUUAAUUUGCAUUUUCCUGAUUAUGAAUGGGGUUGGCUAACUUUUCCUAUGUUUAUUGGAUUUCUUCAUUUUUGAAGUGCUUGUUUAAGUUUUCUACUAAUUUUUCUAUUGGGUUGUCUUUUUUUUUUCUUUCUUUCUUUUUAAGACAGAAUCUUGCUCUGUUGCCCUGGCUAGAGUGCAGUGAUGUAAUAAUAGCUCACUGAAACCUCGAACUCCUGGGCUCAAGCAAUUAUCCCAUCUCGGCCUCCCAAGUAGCUGGAACUACAGGUGUGCACCACUACCACCAUGC
rnacentral:lncRNA from 10 species